AGGCCUGCUAAAGGAAUUGACCUUAUUACUGGAUGCUAGUGGAGAGUUUGGAGUUUUUUCUUUGUAUUUUAACGCUCCUGAAAUACAUGUAGCUACAUCUUCCGUUGGAGAGAGGCUGCUUGAAGAAAUGGAAACAAGACAAACACAUCAGUGCUUCGGUGGCGCAGCGGUUAGAAUGCAGUACUGCAGGCUACUUCUGCUAGCAGUUUGGCAGCUCGGGUCUCACCGCCUCAAGGUUGAUUCAGCCUUCCAUCCUUUCAAGUGCAGUGCUGUUUAUGCAAAAAGAAGGAGCGGAACCAUCUUACCAUGAAGCCUGAAAGAUUAUUUCCUUGAAUUUCUUUCUGGAUGCAUAAAGGAAAAGGAGUGUCUUACCCCUGACAGUGCCAAUAGGGUGUUAAUGGCCACAUAAACUGGAAAAGGCCGUUCAAAACAGCACAUGUAAAAAAAAAAAAAACCCACCAAAAAAAUAAAAACAACCACACAGGUUACCC